AUUUUCAGGUUACAAAAGUAUCGCUAAGCUUCUCAUCGAUAAAGGAGCCAAUACUGGUAUUAAAAAUAAUGAGAAUCGUGUACCUCUUCAAUUAGCUGCUCAAAAUGGUCACGAUGAUGUCGCCAAACUCUUUAUCGGUAAAGGAAACAAAAUUAAUAUUGAAGAGCAAUUGGAAUAGAUUCAAUAUGCUGCCAACAAUGGUGGCGAAUAGCUGAACGCCACUAAUUCAGCUGAAUAAUCGGAUGAUUUCUUUCAGUUCCCGUAUUCAAUUUUAGUGUAGCAUAUUAAUUUCAAUUCUUGUUUGUCAAUCUUUAACCAUGCUGAUAUUGUUGCUUUGUUGGAACAUCGGUUUUCAGAAGAAAAAAAAACAGCUCAAAAAUUUCAAAUUGCUCACUGUAUUGAAUCGUUUUCUCCUGGAUUUGUGAAACCCCAAACGUGCUGAAUAUGAAACGCGAUCUGAAUGAUUGAUAUCUCGUAGGUAACUAUGGAGAGACAUCACAUCCAAAUCGAAUAUUUGUUGAAGAAACCCAGCGGAAAAAUGUUCUACCCGAAACCUAAGCCACAAGCGGUCCACAUCAAAAAUCCAAUUAGUUCUUUCGACAGAAUGUAAAUAA